UAGAAGCGACCCGAUCGAAGAUACCGAAUCGAACUCACUGGUGAAGAGGAAAACACGGAUACGUGACGUUUUUGUGACACGGUCGUAUUCUUCGAUCAUGUUUUCGAGGUCUUCGUCGGUGGUAACGGAGAUUAAGGAAUCUAGGUCUUCGUUAGGGAGCUGGUAUUUAAGCCAAAACGGACGGCCAGACAGGAGGGUUUUGGUGGUAACGGAGAUUAAGGAAUCUAGGUCCUCGUUAGGGAGCUGGUAUUUAAGCCAGAAAGGACGGCCGGAAAGGAGGGUUUUGGAAAUGCGGGAGGAAAGGUCGGAAAGAGAAGUACGGCGGUCGGCGACGAAGAUCCGUGUAUCGCCGCCGAUGUAGCAGAGGGAUUUAUCGUGUGGGCGAGGGAUUAUGUGUCCGCCGUAGCUGCACAUGAGGCGGAGCUUUCCCACGCCGCCGGCGUUAGCC
rnacentral:lncRNA from 1 species